UCUCCCCUUUAACUGCUCCCUUAUUUUUAGAUACACUGAUAAUAGAUUAUAAGCCUAAGAAAUAAAAAUUUGAUCCUCAAAAAAUCCUCUUUUUCUUAGAAAAUUUUUUGUAGCCACACCGUUUAAGUUAAGAGUUUUAACAAACUUUCUGAUCAUUUUUUCUGAUUUUUUGUUCCACAGCUACUUGUAGCUAGAUAUAAUUAUUGGUACUGUUGUGAUGGUCAAUUUUACAAUGUUAAUACACAAUUUCUGAAAUAUUUGUUGCUUUAAGAAUUAAAGAAAAAUACACACCAACAUUGUAAUAUUUCAAAAUUAAUGAUGCUGUCUCUUUCUUUUAUUAAUUUUUAGUAUUACAGUAAAAAAAAUGGCUGAAGCUGUCGAAGAUCAGGAAACUAUGUAUAAAUUGAUAAUUAGUCAACUACGUUAUGAUGCACUUGACCUGAUUGCAUCAAGUUUAGCAAAAUGUGUGGGUUUAGAAGACCUUGCACUUGCACCUUCAUCUAGAUUGUUGGAAGUUUUGAAACUUGGCUUGCAGGAGGAAAAAGCAGGAAAAGAACCAGAACAGAGAAAAUUACCAGGUCUAACCCCGACGAUACAACCUGAAGCAACAGGUUUGGAAACUAAUAUCAAAACUGGAUUAGAUCUCGAAUACGAAAAAGAAGAUGUGCUACAAGAGCAUAGAGUGGAGAAAACUGAUUGUACAGAUAAUGUCCACGUUAAUAUACAAGCAGAGGACUUGUUUGGAAAUCUAGAUCUUCUUUCACAAAUUUCUGCUGGCGUUAGUGAAAACUCCUGUUUAAAAAAUCAAUCUGAUGACAGUCAUCAUUACAUGCCUGAAACAAAACUGGACUUCUUGUGCAGUUUGGAUCUUAUUCCUUCAGUACUGGUUAAGAAUUGUCCUAAUGCUACGAAGCAAUGGCUACAAAAUGCUUCUUCUACUCCAAAUUAUGACAUAAAUACAACCGGAAUAAACUCUAAGUUCUCUUAUGAGCAAUACCAUAAUAAAAUUGAUUUUGUAAACAUUGAUGAUUUAAGUACAACAAUGUGGAAUAGGGAUGUUUCUUCCCUAAGCUCCAACGAUAUUAUAAAAUCUCCAACCACAAAGCUAAACCAAUCUUUUUAUCCUCUGAAGCAUGUUUCUUAUGAAAGUAGUAUAAUUGUGAGCAAUACUGACACAGUUUUAGCGACAUCAGAAACACUGCCGCAGCAAAAUAUUACAGAAGUUGGCAAUUCUAGUUUGUUGAUGUCCUAUCCAGAAGGUUUUGAUCACAAAGACCAGAUUAAUACAGCCAGAAACUCAUGUUUUAUUAACACUCAAAGUUAUCCUACAAAAUUUUCACUGAAACUUGAUCUAAACUCUGUCAGCACCUGUCAAAACGUUUGUAUUUCAAAUUUGUCAAAAGUUAGUUUAAAGGAUGAGCAAAUGACUGAUUUGCAUGCACUUGUAAUGAAAGAAAUUUACUCCCAACAAAUCAAUCAAACUAUAUUUGCAAAGGCGAGCAUUGGAAAAACACAAGGUUACUUAUCUGAGCUUUUAAAUAAAAACAAACAUUAUUCCAGUAGUGAAACACUGAGUAGAGCGAAUGUGAAUAUUGAGAACAUCAUGAAAUUUUUCAAGAAAUCUAAAACAGAACGCAAAAGAAUUUAUGAAGCAUGUAUGAGUGGGGAUGUAAAAUCACUUGUGAAGCGAAAACAGCAGAGGACAGUAUUAACUCCUGAGACAAAGAAAAUUUUGACAGAGUAUUUCUUUCAGAAAAGUGGAAAGCUUAAUCGACAAGAUAUUCAAUACAUUGCAACAAAACUGCAAAUAAGUUUUGGUGUGGCUAAAAUUUUCUACAAGAACAAGAAACAAAGGAAUAAGAAAUGCAUGUAACUCAUCCAAAAAAUGAUAUGGUACCAGUCCACCAGUUGCUCAGUACGAAACACAUUAUGUAACUGCACACAAAGGACCUGUGACUUCAGCAGCAUUCACUCCAGAUGGACGAUUGUGUGCGACAGGGUCAGUUGACACCUCUAUUAAG